UGAGAGAUCGUGUCUCAACCGCACAC
rnacentral:piRNA from 1 species